rnacentral:lncRNA from 1 species
UCCCCGUCAGGAGCCUUGGCCGGUAUGCGGUGUUUAUUGGCCUAAGGCACUGCUUGCACAUCUCUACCGAGACAUUCCCCUCCAUUUCUGCGGACACGAUAUACCUGGGUUGCCAUCAUCAGCAAUUCCGUGGGUUUGGCAUCUAUCAUAUCAACAACACGAAGAACCACCCGAGGACCGAGCAUAAUGACAAGUUCGUCUUUGAUAUAUCCCGGUAUUUAUAUCAACCCGCUGCCAGCCCCUACAACCUUGAUGAAUAUCUUGUAUUCUAUGUGGACCGUAGACACCGCUAUAGCAAGGCGUGUAUCAAUCAUACCAGCUGUCUCUUUAGCUAGAGCCCUCUCUAGUGCAUAUAAUGUAUCUGUAUGGCCGUCUGUUUAAUUUGGCAUAUGUGGUCGAUCAGCCUUGACAGCAGCUACUUUUGCUCUAUAUGUACUUGGUGUAACUUUUGCAACCUAAAUGAGGUGCCUGUUUAACAUGUUUUUUUUUCAUAGGGACUUGCUCUCUGAUUUUGUUCUAGAUGUCGUUGGUCAAAUCCGACGAGCACAUCUUUUUUCCCCACUCUGCUUAUGCUAGAACCAUUUGGUUUGGCUCUCCAAUGGCUUUACAAAGUACAAACUGACAUAGUUCUUGUGUGCAAGUCCUAUGCUCUCUAAUUAAGCACCUUUCCUCUAAUGUAAACAGUGACCUUAUCUUUUACAUCCUAUGACAAAUAUGGAAAGGUUAGAAAUAGCUUCAGAUUUCAAAGAAAAGAUUCGACUGUCCGCUUUGUUAUUUCCCAGGCGAAUGCAGCAAGCCCAGAAGGUCCAAUAUGAGUAAUUUUUUUAGGGUACCAAUAUGAGUAAUUUGAUUUGGGGGACAACACGCUGUUAGCAGCCCUGCUAGAACCCCAUUGAAUAAUCUCUCAGCUCUUGAUUAUUGUUUAUACAAAGUCGAUUGCCUACUUUCUUAAUUGAGAGCUGAAGUUCUUGGCAUCUUGUUAUCUUACAACCGUGAGAUCUUGUUCCUCCCUGCAAAUUUACGCUUAUGCUAAUUGUUCAUUGCUUUAAAUGAUGUUUCAACAGCCUGAAAGUAUUUUGCUAUUUCAUUUGUUUUGCAUCAGAGAAAAGAAGGAAAACCAAUAGUAUUUGGUGUUGGUGGUCGGUUUUAAAUCAUGAAUAUUUUGCCAUUUCUACCUCCAAGCAUGUUUGGGAUGUCAAAGUUCCUUUGAAAAUAAAAGUGUUUAUGUGGUUUGUGCAUAAACAAGUUAUUUUAACCAAGGACAACUUGAUAAAGCGUAAUUGGACAAGACCUACUAGGUGUAGUUUCUGUGAUCGGGAUGAGACAGUCAAGCACCUUUUUUUUAUUGCCCGUUGGCCAAAGUGCUUUGGCAGACGGUCCACAUUGCUUUUAAUAUCACUCAACCGAAUUCUGUUAACACGUUAUUUGGGACAUGGCUUGAUGGGAUUGAGCCUGACUUAGCGAGACACAUUCGGGUUGGAGUUUGUGCUUUGCUGUGGACUAUCUGGACUUGCAGAAAUGAUUUAGUUUUUAACAGAAUAUCAUGUAUCCAUUUUUUGCAGGUUAUAUUCCGAACUAUGGCAUUGAUCCGUUCGUGGUCGCUACUCACCCCGACGGAGGCCAGGGAGCAUUUGGUUACUGGAUCCUUCCGCUGGGAGAUGGUAGCUCGGGAUAUCUUCAACCGGUUUGGAUGGCGGUCAUGUAAUAGGAUAGGCAUUUAGUUUACCUACCUAGUUUUAGCCAGCCGGUUGUGGCGUCUGUUCAUGGCUAGUUGGUGUUUCUAGCCUCUUUUUAGCUCUAUGUGAGCUUUCUUUGCUUUUCAUUACUUUUGGAGACUUUGGAACCUUAUUGGCACUUCUUUAUUUGAUUAAUAAGAUGGCCGUAUGCAUCAUUCUGAUGCAGAGGCCGGGAAGUCCCUUUAAAAAAAACUAUUAAUAAUCAAACCAACCACUGUUCUCUUAUUCAAGCACAUACUACUAUACACUCGCCGUGAUUGGAUCAACACUGGGCAGAGAGGCUGCCAUGUCUACCGUCCAGAGGAAUGACUGCUACUUGCGCUGUGGCAGUGCACGAGCAUGUUGCCGUCUACAACGCACAUGAGUAUUCAUCCACCGUGGUACACAGCCGUUGUACCAAUGGAAAAAAAAUUAUCAAUCAAGAAUCAUGAGAUGUGGGAAACAGGGAAUCGGGUAUGGCUAAUCAGAUAUUGAGAUUUGCUGCCUAAUGACGGGAUUAAUCUGGGCGGGAGGAUGCUUUGAGAUUAGCAGUGCCACUUAUAAUGUUCUGGAAGGGAUCUUUCUUGAAGUAAAAUACCAGGUCGUAUAUGAUUUUCUUCCCUGCAACAUCAAAACUCGACAGAAGCCUAGCCGGAAAAUACUAUUUUCACCAUGUAUGUAGACAAAAGAUGCAUGUUUUCAAUAUCCAACCUGUGGUUGGAUGGUUAGAGGGCUAGGGUGUGCGGGCAGUGGCGGAGCUUGGUGGGGGCCAACCUGGGCCAUGGCCCCCCCAGCUCAUAUGAAUUUUUUUGUAUAUACCUUAGUAUUAGGCAUAUUAGGCAUACUUAUCCACCAAAAAUCAUUCAAAAGAAAUUAUGUUUGNNNNNNNNNNNNNNNNNNNNNNNNNNNNNNNNNNNNNNNNNNNNNNNNNNNNNNNNNNNNNNNNNNNNNNNNNNNNNNNNNNNNNNNNNNNNNNNNNNNNNNNNNNNNNNNNNNNNNNNNNNNNNNNNNNNNNNNNNNNNNNNNNNNNNNNNNNNNNNNNNNNNNNNNNNNNNNNNNNNNNNNNNNNNNNNNNNNNNNNNNNNNNNNNNNNNNNNNNNNNNNNNNNNNNNNCGCCACUGUGUGCGGGUAUGCGUUCAUAGGGGUAAGUGUGUGCAGGACUAUAUGAGCGCUUGCGUCUAUAUCGUGUUAAAAAAAUCAUGAUUAAAGAAUCAUAUUCUUAUCCACUAGCAUAUUUGCAAUGUACGUAAAUGUUAUGAAGGAGAUUAAUUGCAUGUUGAUAUUAGGUAAGAUAUCGAUUAUGUGUUAAUUAUGUGAUUAACAUAGACGUUGAUAAUAUGGUAUGAUAUUAAUUGCACACUAAACAUGUUGAACACUCACCAUUGAAGUAAUCUAGGUCAUUGGAUUGACAUAAUUUGAUGGAUAAGAUUAAUUGUAUAUGUCUCUUUGAAUCUUUUUAUAUUGGUAUAAUAGAAUAGAAUAGAAUAGAAUAUAGAUAAACAAAUAAAGAAUCAGGUUUUUUUUAAACCCUUUGAACGUUUUGUAACAAAAAAAGAAAAUAAAUAUAUGUACACAUUUCUCGUGCUGUAUAUUACAGAAAAAGAACUUGUACACAACGUCAAACUAGCCUCCUUCCUUCCUAUCGGACCGGGGGCUUGAAAAUGGUUAUGCACUUGUAUACAACGUCUGUGCUACCUCAGUUUCCCCUCAGCAAGACAAUGUGCAUGACCAUGCUUCUACCUUCUGGCUGCUGCUACAGCUUCGGAAGCAAGAUGCGGGAGCGUCGGGAGAAGCAUCACACGGUGAAGCAGUAGCUCAAUGGAAUGGCAAAUCGCUUCUGCUGAUAUUCUUGGCAAUUCUGCAACCAUCUUUAUUGUAAGAGAUAACACAUGGUAGAUCGUCUGACCAUGACUUGGUACUGAUCAGACUGCAGUAAGCAUGCGGAGUGGCACUCUCAAGUUUGGCACUACAAGUAUCAAUUGAUGUUGUAGAGGCGCGCAAAGCUGUAAUCAACCGUGACACAAGCAGGAGUUGCCAUGAUAUUCCUAGGACACAAGCUCUUUGGUUAGCCAAAGUGCAGCAUGUACGUGCAGCGAAUUACUAAACAAAAGGGUGACAGUUAUACUCACAAAGAGAAUGCAGAAUCCUGAUCUCUCUCAUUCUCAAAAGGCUAGAUGGCCAUCAUUUGGAUCACAUAAUACUUUCAAGCUAACAAUUGACUAUGGAAUAUGUCUCUGCUAUCCACUAUGGACUAUAGUCUUUCACUCAUAUAUGUUUGACUCCCUUCUCAUGGCUAUGUGGAUGCUCAUGGGACUUCCAAUUUGUAGGCAAUUGGUGGUGGCUCAUGAACAUUCAAAGCUUGUCUUUUUUUAUUAUUUGUACCAGCAUUCGAUAGUCAUCACUCUCUUAGUCUCAUCAAACUAGCUGGUGUCAUAUAUGUCGUUGAUCACAAAUCCAAUUCAUUUAUAGAAUUUAAGACUUUGGAACAACCUCUGUUUGAGUGCCAUUCAUGUGAAUUUCCAGAGGUGUUGUUCAUUUAUAUGUCUAACUGACAAAAUACACAACCACCAUAUAUAUGUGUGCACGCUGCACACAAUCAAAGAUAUUAUAAGAGACUGGUCUCACUAGACGUAGAGGCACACCAUACAACCUAACAUAUACUUGUGUCAAUCCUGGAACUGAAACCUGGUGAGAGAAGCGGAAGAACCAAGCUCACAAUGCUAGGCCACAUAUCUCUCUCUAAAAAAAACCGCUAGGCCACAUACUCUUAUUUAUUCAAGAGUCCAAUUACUAAUACCAAUGUAUAUGCUAAUGCUACUAACCAAGCUCUUAUGUUUAAUGUUGUGUGUGAAAAUUGGAAUAUGUCAAAGCAUAUUCCGAACUAGCCAGAGAGAAAAUUAUGUCUUUAUCAUGCCAUCGACCAUAUUAUAUUUUAAUUAAAGUAAACGUAAAUAAAUCUAGGGAGUUUCUAAUGAGCAUCUGAGUGUUUUUACUUACGAAUAUCUCAGUAAAAUUGAAUGUUGGAAACUCUUCAUGAACAGCCUUUCGCUUUGCCCACCAUAUAGCCCACAUGGUAAUUAACCAGGACCUUGACGACGCAUCGGUGGGAGAUUAUUGAUCAAGUCAAAGAGCCACAACUUGGGAUCCGGCUGCUUGCUUGCCGCAAUAUAAUCCACAAUGUCAUCAUCAAGUAAAGCCCAGGCCCCCUUGGCCAAGUUGCAGUCAAAAAGCGAAUGACGCCAUGAAUCGAGAGCCGAGUUACACACUUGACACACAUCUGAAUCUGCCAUAUUUCUAUUCGCCCCCACGUCCGUUGUUGCCAACGAGACUCUAGCCAGCUGCAAACAAAUACCUUCACCUUGGGGGUACAUACAUGUUCCACAGUUUGGACCAACUUUUACGCAUACGCUGUUCAUGAGAGCACCCUUGUCGUUGCUCAAGUCAGUCCUCGCGCUGUUUUUUCGUGUCAACAAGCAGCCUAUAGGCACACCUGACUGAAUGUCCCAGACAUUUCAUCAUGCCAAGCCCACAAAUCCUCCUGGCUAACUGUGCUCAAGAGAAUGUUCAACACCGCCUGUGUUUUGAUUUUCGGUUUGAGAUUUUUUUUUUCACCCCAGGCUGAGAUGGCCGAAUUUCAGCACUUUUUUUUAUAUAAAUUGGCCGAAAUUUGACCAAAAUUUAACUGAAAUUUGACCAAUUUCGGCCGAAAGGUAGAUUUCGCCGUAGACCAAGAUGGCCGAAAUUCGGCCGAAAUCUGUUUUUUUUUUCGGCCGAAAAUCAAAACACACCGCCGCCUUGACAUCCAUGGGAAGAAGAUGAGCUCAAACUACCUGAUGGUUCCAUGAGCAGCCAGCAGAAUCGAUCAGAUCACUAACCCUUUGCGGUGGAUUAGCUGAUAAAGCACAUACAUGCCGCAACCCGAAAUCCCUAGCUAGGGAUCCAAUUGUCUCCAAGAAAACUAGUAUCAACCCUGUUACCGAUCCGCCGAAUAAUCCCAGGUUUCAGAGCAUCACGUCCCUCACACUAAAGGGCGAGGUCUAAGUUCCGCAUGCAAUACUGAAUCUUGAGGGAAAUACACCGCCUUGAAAAUCCUCGCGCUGAGAGAUGAUGGAUCAGGGAGAACUCGCCAAGCUUGCCGUGCAAGGAGGGCGAGAUUACAAAGUUCGAUGUCCCUAAAACCCAAUCCACCAUCACGCUUCGGAUGACACAUUGACUCCCGUGAGACCCAUGCUGUUUUUCAACACAUCCAACAUCACGCUUCACUGACAACUUGUUUGACAGUGGUCUGUUACCUAGAUCCUUGGGCCUACAAGGCCGUCUACAAUGUUCAAUUCGAGAAGCCCACGGCCACUCGCAACGCUCGCACACUGCCUCCUCCCCUUUCGUCGAACCCCGCCGCCAAACCUCUGCGCCGACGCCCGACGCCCGACCCCCCCUCACCAAAUCCAUUUCUCAUGCCUGCAGUCUAGAUGACGAGGCAAUCGACGCUGCGCCGUAGCCUCGCCGUCCCCCCUGUGGCUGCGGGAUCCGAUGGGGACGGAUCUCACGGGAUGAUGACGCGAGCGCGGCGCCGGCGGCUUAGCCUCCUCGCACAAUGGAGGGAUUGGGCCAACCUGCUCCCUGUAGACCUCGUCGAGGAGAUCUCCGGCCGGCUGCUCUCCCUCGACGUGGCCGAGUACCUCCGCUUCCGCGCCGUGUGCAGCCCGUGGCGCGGACUCACCGCCGACCCGCGGACAGCAGGCCUCCUGCACAGCCGCUUCCGCCCCCGCAACUGGAUGGUGCUCUCCAUCAUCCCUGACGCCGAGCCGCACCGCCGCCUCCUCAACCUGGCCACCGCGGCCUCCCUCGGCGUCGACCCCCCGGCGCUCUCCAGCCACUGCCACAUCUGCGACGUCUACGGCCUCCUCCUCCUCUACCACAAGCCCACCACGACCAUCCGCCUCCUCGACCCACUCACCAGCGCCCUCACCGAGUUCCCGGCAAUCUCAAGCAUAGUUCCCGCCGUCCCCCUGGACCACCACACCGUUUUGUUCAAGAAUCCCCUGGGCACUAUUCCGAGGGCGAUCAAUGGCGCAGCGUUUGAUGACUCCACCUCCCCGCCCACACUCCUGCUCUGCCUGAGAGGCGGUCUGGCCACCAUCAUCUUCGCCAAACCCGGCGAUGCGCACUGGACGAUGGUGACCCCAGGCCGGUCCACCCACCCCAGGAACUACCAACAUCAACAGUUAUUAUUCUUCACAUUGCUGUCCCUGGGAGGACACUGCUACAUCAGCUCGCCGGAGGGUUCGCUCUACCUUAUGGAGCUGCAGCCGCUACCUCGGCUGGUGGAGGUGGUUGACCAGCACCGCUUUGCCGACCCAGAUAACAUUUGGCGCGAGCGCAUAAUGUCGUUCCUGGUCAGUGGCACCGCUGGGAGGAUGCUGAUGGUGCGGUACUGGAGCGGCAUGGUGGAGCGCUUCGGCGGCGUUGAGGCUUACAAUCCAGAGGAGCUAUUCACGGCGCGCGGCAUCACCAGCCGCAUUGAGGUGUUGGAGGUGGACAUCGCCGGCAGGAGGCUGGUCCCCGUCAGGAGCCUUGGCCGGUAUGCGGUGUUUAUUGGCCUAAGGCACUGCUUGCACAUCUCUACCGAGACAUUCCCCUCCAUUUCUGCGGACACGAUAUACCUGGGUUGCCAUCAUCAGCAAUUCCGUGGGUUUGGCAUCUAUCAUAUCAACAACACGAAGAACCACCCGAGGACCGAGCAUAAUGACAAGUUCGUCUUUGAUAUAUCCCGGUAUUUAUAUCAACCCGCUGCCAGCCCCUACAACCUUGAUGAAUAUCUUGUAUUCUAUGUGGACCGUAGACACCGCUAUAGCAAGGCGUGUAUCAAUCAUACCAGCUGUCUCUUUAGCUAGAGCCCUCUCUAGUGCAUAUAAUGUAUCUGUAUGGCCGUCUGUUUAAUUUGGCAUAUGUGGUCGAUCAGCCUUGACAGCAGCUACUUUUGCUCUAUAUGUACUUGGUGUAACUUUUGCAACCUAAAUGAGGUGCCUGUUUAACAUGUUUUUUUUUCAUAGGGACUUGCUCUCUGAUUUUGUUCUAGAUGUCGUUGGUCAAAUCCGACGAGCACAUCUUUUUUCCCCACUCUGCUUAUGCUAGAACCAUUUGGUUUGGCUCUCCAAUGGCUUUACAAAGUACAAACUGACAUAGUUCUUGUGUGCAAGUCCUAUG